UGUGGUUGAAUUUAAAUUCUUCAUUCUGCCUCUCUGUGUCUAAUGAUACGUGAAUUAGAGAUAUAAAAUGUAGCUUUUUCCCCUAAAAAUGUUGAUUUUAAUGAAACUUAAGCCCUUGCUAAGCUGCCAGACAAGACACCUGACAUUUACUAUCACAUUUUAUACAAAACACAUUUGGAGUAGAAAAACAUGUUGUUGAGCUAGAGAUUGCUCUGUCCCUUUAAGUGGCUGAAGCAGGUACCCCUUAAUUUGGUUGCCUGUGCUACAGAGUAUGGGAGAAAGAGUAGCAUAGGAAAUUAGUCACAAUUCUGCCAGUGUCGUAAUUUUGUGUGUGUCUGUCCUUCUCUUCCUGUGUGCACAUUUUUAUCUGAUUAUGUUGUGAGGUUUUAUAUCCAAUGAAGUCUUUGAAAUUUUUCUUUUGCAUAUGAGCACCUUAAAAUUUUAUUUGUAAAAGCAUAAAGGUUUUGUAUUUAGUUAAUGGCAACCUCAGCUCUGGAGUGGACUUGUCAAUGGCCU
rnacentral:lncRNA from 1 species